CGUUAUACUACACACAAAAAACAUGGCUGCUCAACACCAAUCUUUGCCGCUUCAAGACCGAGUCGCAAUCGUUACUGGCUCGUCCCGCGGAAUCGGCCGAGAAAUCGCCAUUCACCUCGCUUCACUCGGUGCCCGAAUCGUCAUCAACUACACCUCCAACUCGGACCUAGCCAACUCAGUCGCCGCCCAGAUCAACGCCGAUUCAGCCACCGCCAGAGCCGUCACCGUCCGAGCCGACGUCUCCGAUCCGGACCAGGUGAAGUCCCUAUUCGACUCGGCCGAGCGAGCCUUCGACUCGCCGGUUCACAUCCUGGUCAACUCGGCCGGAGUUCUCGACGGCAAGUACCCGACCAUAGCCAACACCACCGUGGAGUCCUUCGACAAGACCUUCUCGGUGAACGCGAGAGGAGCGUUCGUGUGCAGCAGGGAGGCGGCGAACCGGUUGAAGCGCGGCGGCGGAGGGCGAAUCAUACUUCUGACGACGUCGAUGGCGGCGGCGCUGAGGCCUGGUUACGGCGCGUACGCGGCGUCGAAGGCGGCGGUGGAGGCGAUGGUUAAGAUCCUGGCGAAGGAGCUGAAGGGGACGUUGAUAACGGCGAAUUGCGUUGCGCCGGGACCUAUCGCGACGGAGAUGUUCUUCGAGGGGAAGACGGAGGAGAUGGUUAAUAGGGUGGUGGAAGAGAGUCCCAUGUGUAGGCUCGGUGAGACCAAAGACGUUGCUCCUGUUGUAGGGUUCUUAGCCACUGAUUCUGCUGAAUGGGUUAAUGGUCAAGUGGUUCGUGUUAAUGGUGGCUAUGUUUAGUUCCCACAAUUUAGGAACAAGUGAUACUUGGAAGACACGUAUGUUGAUGAAGAGUUGUUUUUGUCAAAGACUGAAAUUCCAAACCACUUGCUUGGAGAUAAGCCACUGAUAAUUGAUUCUCAGGCAAAGCUUGCUGCUCAAUGGGAUUUCAUAUUCUCUUCUUAUAUGUCAUUUUGAUGCCAUUUAUCAGU